GCACUAUACACUCAUGCUAUGCUCUGAGUCUCAGAAAGCAAGAGCUGCACAGAAAAUCUAUGCAGUUGUUGUCUUUCCUAUUCUUCUUUAUAAACAAUUUUCAGCCAUAUAAGUUGUACAAAAUAAUGGUACAUGCAUCUGAUGUGUGUCAGUGUGAAAGUUUCCUAAGACAUGAAAAGACUUUUGGAGUGACCCACUUUUACUCCAUUGAAGGAGUUCCUAGGACUGGUCCUGCUAAUGUGACAAUUCUGAAUAUAACAAAGCAUUCUGCACUUGUAAAGUGGAGUGAAAUAGCUGCAGAAGACCGUUUGGGCUUUCUCCAGGGAUACAGGAUCAGUUACACAGAUUCAUCAAGGAAAAACUCUCCAGCUAUUACUCUCAACUCCUCUAUCACAAGUUACCAUCUUACUGGACUGAAGGAAAAGACCACCUAUCGUGUGCAGAUUUCAGGAUUCACUAAUGCUGGAGAAGGACCUCUGACUCUUUCUCAAUCUUUCAGCACUCCAAAAUAUGAUAAAGGAGAACUUGAAGGUUUUGUGAUUGGUCUUUGUUUCAGCAUGAUACUCAUUCUGGUUUUUGCACCUCUCACUUGUUCUCUGAUGAUUAAAAGGUAAGAACAUAAUAUUGGCUGGAGUUGUUAGCAACACUCUUGUUUUGCUUAGCUCUGACUUCAUAGCACUGGGCUUUUAUUGUCAUAAAGGCAACACAACUCAGAAAACACACAGCACAAAAGUCACCAUACUAAUUUCACAGUGAGAGCAAUUACAAGCCACUAUAAGCUGAUUAAAAU
rnacentral:lncRNA from 1 species